rnacentral:rRNA from 1 species
GACGAACGCUGGCGGCGUGCUUAACACAUGCAAGUCGAACGGAAAGGCCCUGCUCUUGUGGGGUGCUCGAGUGGCGAACGGGUGAGUAACACGUGAGUAACCUGCCCUUGACUUUGGGAUAACUUCAGGAAACUGGGGCUAAUACCGGAUAGGAGCUCCUGCUGCAUGGUGGGGGUUGGAAAGUUUCGGCGGUUGGGGAUGGACUCGCGGCUUAUCAGCUUGUUGGUGGGGUAGUGGCUUACCAAGGCUUUGACGGGUAGCCGGCCUGAGAGGGUGACCGGCCACAUUGGGACUGAGGUACGGAGCAGAAUCCAACGGGCGGCAGCGGUGGGAAGUAUGGCGGAGUAGGGGGGAGCCUGAUACGACAGCGCCGCGUGCGGGAUGACGGCUUUCGGGUUGUGAACAGAUUUCUAAUGUACCGAAGCGUGAGUGACGGUAAUGGGUAAGAAAGCACCGGCUAACUACGUG